rnacentral:lncRNA from 1 species
AAACGUUGUAGAUAUCUUUUGGGGACUGCUAGGCUAAGUUUCACAAAUAUCUUUUUUUUUUUCAAGACUGACUGGAUACUUAAUCAUGUCAGACUAGGAUCCUUAAUUAAAUGGGAAACCGCCAAGGCAUAUAUUGAAAGAAAACAAAAGGGAAUAAAAAAAGAAAGCAACAACCCAUAUUCCCAAAAGAGCCCAGCGAGGAAGUAGUGCUCAAAGUGAGAAAGUUGAGAAAAAGUUGAGAAAAAAAAAAGGGAAUAAAAAAAGAAAGCAACAACCCAUCCCCAAAUUUUUCCCAUGCAAUGUAGUAUUUUUAUGUUAUGCUACGUGUAUAUUUGAGAAAAUUUUGUUUUUAC